rnacentral:rRNA from 1 species
CACCAGACUCCUACGGGAGGCAGCAGUGGGGAAUAUUGCACAAUGGGGGAAACCCUGAUGCAGCGACGCCGCGUGAGUGAAGAAGUAUUUCGGUAUGUAAAGCUCUAUCAGCAGGGAAGAUAAUGACGGUACCUGACUAAGAAGCCCCGGCUAACUACGUGCCAGCAGCCGCGGUAAUACGUAGGGGGCAAGCGUUAUCCGGAUUUACUGGGUGUAAAGGGUGCGCAGGUGGCGCGGCAAGUCAGAUGCGAAAGCCCGGGGCUCAACCCCGGGACUGCAUUUGAAACUGCCGUGCUGGAGUGUCGGAGAGGCAAGUGGAAUUCCUAGUGUAGCGGUGAAAUGCGUAGAUAUUAGGAGGAACACCAGUGGCGAAGGCGGCUUGCUGGACGAUAACUGACGCUGAGGCUCGAAAGCGUGGGGAGCAAACAGGAUUAGAUACCCCAGUAGC